rnacentral:lncRNA from 1 species
CUUUAAAUUAAGUUCUUUAUUGAAUUAACAGGUCAGAAAUAACAAGAGCCUGAAUUAUAUGAAAAUGUCAUCCUAUCAUUGACAGUUUCCAUUCAUACUGGAGGAGGAUGGUAGUUAAAGGCUGGACCAAAGAGUACACUAGAAAAGCCACUACCAGGGCACCAUGAACUUCCAUUCCAAUGAAAGUACAGGUCAGCAGCAACCAAGAGAGAGCAAAAUGGGAUUCCAACAGCGUGUAACAAAGGCAGGAACCUCUGGGCUCUUUGUAAAAUGGUUUGUCCUUCUUUAGCUGUCCGGUCUGAUCCAGCAAGGGGCACUGGCAGAUCUAAAAGUUCUUGUGUCCAUUUGCCAUUGGUCUGUGUGGAAAAUCCUCCAUUGUAACAUACAUCACACAUUGAGCAAUGUUCUGAUCCAUUAUGACAUGGGAAAGGAACUCCAUCCGAAGAACUCAAUGCUGAAGAUAUACGGCUGCCUUCUUUCAUAUUGAUGACAUGAAUGUUGAUCACACCACCACACAAUCCAUUUGUUGAAGUUUUCUUCAGGGAGAGGUUGCUGAAGAGAUAAUGCAUUUUUUUAUGAACACUCCUGACUCAACACCUUUAUACAGUCUACAAGCAUCCUAUACCAACCAUACAGGACAGCUCUAUUUGGACACCUUGAUAGUGAAUAAAGAGUAGAUGCAUUACAACCACUAUUCCAGUUAAGUCCAGGCCUACCUGCAUUCUAUUUCUUGUCCUUGUCUUGUAUUUAAUUGUAUAGGCCUAUCACAAAAUGGUCGGCUUGGCUCUUGGAUGCCAGGUAGGGCUCUUGCACAUGUGGGGCUCUUGUCUGGAAGGAACAGGGCUAUAAUUCCAUCCUUCGUAAUAGCAACGCAUCCACAUCUGCCGUCACUGUUUAGCUGGACUCUGCAUGGCUGUGCUAUAGCGAAAGGUGCAACUUCCGAUGCAGGUAAUGGGCUUUGUUGCUCAGAAGAGGCCUUUCUUCGUCGUUCACAAUACAUUCUUUUGGCAAACAAUCCCGUUGGCAACAUUGUUUCAACCAAUGCAAGUUGACAAUCGAAGCCUGACAGUUUUCUUCUCACCUCCUGCAUGAUUAAAUAUCAUAGAUGAAGUUAAGAAAAGUAAUUGAUUUAUAAAGUCAAGUAGGCCGAAAACACAUUAUCUGCAGAUAUUUACACGAACCCUUAUUAUUUUUUUGGAGACCCCAUGUCCUCUGCGUCUGCAAUGAUCAGACAUGUUUCCAAUGUUGGCAAGCGCUUAAUUAAUCACACAAAUUCUGAACGUGAAAGACUGCUUAUUAUAGAUUUAGCAGUGACUAAAAUGAUGUUUUCCGAUGUAGACAGACAGCGCGCUAGUCUCGCUUGUCGGAGACAGAGGCUGUGAGUAGAGUCGCACAGCGCACUGGUUGUUCAUCCAGUGUGCAAGGGUUGUCAAUCAUUAUAUGAUGACGUCACGUGCGCG